rnacentral:rRNA from 1 species
UACAGAGGUCCCGAGCGUUAGGCGGAAUCACUGGGCUUAAAGCGUGUGUAGGCGGAUCGUUAAGUGUCUUGUGAAAUCCCACGGCUCACCCGUGGAACUGCUGGGCAUACUGGCGAUCUUGGGCCAACUAGGGGCAACUGGAACAAGCGGUGGAGCGGUGAAAUGCGUAGAUAUCGCUUGGAACGCCAAAGGUGAAAACAGGUUGCUGGGGUUGUGCCGACGCUGAGACACGAAAGCCAGGGGAGCAAACGGG